rnacentral:lncRNA from 1 species
CCUUUGGAUUCUUAAGUAGGGGGGCAAGGAGGAGCACGUAGGAAUGCCGACCACUACAUAAGCCACUAGUGGCUGAGAGAAAGCGAGCAGCACCUUGUAUAGGUUGGGCGGAGCUUAAAGAAGCAAGCCCCUAUCAGAGAAAGCCAUUGCGCGCUAGCCUAGCUAGCUAACGUUUUUCAGCUGGCUGUUAUGUUAGUUGUAGCGCGCCUUCCCUCCUUCUCUCACUUUGGAAAGAUUUUUCAGUAUUUUCUUAUGAUGACCUGGUCGAGAGAGUACGAUACAUCGGUGUAAAAGAUUUCCUUUUUUCUGUGAGCUUGGUUUACUUGACCGAAGGGUGCAGUAGAACCUGAAGGAGAGGAAUAAAUACCUGGUCUAUAAUUUUGACAAAAGGAGGACCGCUAUUGGGAAAUAUCUUCCUCCUCUUGGUCGUCAUCAAAGAAGUUGACGUCCGGGGCUUCCUCUUUCCCUUUAAAAUAAAACCGGUGAAGUCCAUCCUAAAGUGAAAAAUCUACAUC